rnacentral:rRNA from 1 species
CCAGGCCCUACGGGGUGCAGCAGGCGCGAAACCUCCGCAAUGUGAGAAAUCGCGACGGGGGGAUCCCAAGUGCCAUUCUUAACGGGAUGGCUUUUCAUUAGUGUAAAGAGCUUUUGGAAUAAGAGCUGGGCAAGACCGGUGCCAGCCGCCGCGGUAACACCGGCAGCUCUAGUGGUAGCAGUUUUUAUUGGGCCUAAAGCGUCCGUAGCCGGUUUAAUAAGUCUCUGGUGAAAUCCUGCAGCUUAACUGUGGGAAUUGCUGGAGAUACUAUUAGACUUGAGAUCGGGAGAGGUUAGAGGUACUCCCAGGGUAGAGGUGAAAUUCUGUAAUCCUGGGAGGACCGCCUGUUGCGAAGGCGUCUGACUGGAACGAUUCUGACGGUGAGGGACGAAAGCUAGGGGCGCGAACCGGAUUAGAUACCCGGGUAGUCCUAGCUGUAAACGAUGCGGACUUGGUGUUGGGGUGGCUUUGAGCUGUCCCAGUGCCGAAGGGAAGCUGUUAAGUCCGCCGCCUGGGAAGUACGGUCGCAAGACUGAAACUUAAAGGAAUUGGCGGGGGAGUACCACAACGCGUGGAGCCUGCGGUUUAAUUGGAGUCAACGCCGG